AUGUGUGUCCCCAAGGACAAAGCAGGAAUGGGAUACCAUGAUAUUCAUAGUUUCAAUUUAGCUAUGUUGGCAAAACAGUGUUGGAGGCUUAUUGAGAACCCUGGUUCUUUAUGCGCACGAGUUCUAAGAUCAAUGUAUUAUACCUCCGUUGAUAUUCAAAAUUGUGAACUUAAAAAGGGGUCAUAUUAUGUCUUGAAGGAAAUAUGCCCUAGAGGCAAUAAUAAAGUUAUUAUUUAUUUCCUCAUAUCAUGA
rnacentral:rRNA from 1 species